GAGGAAUAUUGGUCAAUGGACGGAAGUCUGAACCAGCCAAGUAGCGUGCAGGAUGACGGCCCUAUGGGUUGUAAACUGCUUUUGUAUGGGGAUAAAGUUAGGGACGUGUCCCUAUUUGCAGAUACCAUACGAAUAAGGACCGGCUAAUUCCGUGCCAGCAGCCGCGGUAAUACGGAAGGUCCAGGCGUUAUCCGGAUUUAUUGGGUUUAAAGGGAGCGUAGGCUGGAGAUUAAGUGUGUUGUGAAAUGUAGACGCUCAACGUCUGAAUUGCAGCGCAUACUGGUUUCCUUGAGUACGCACAACGUUGGCGGAAUUCGUCGUGUAGCGGUGAAAUGCUUAGAUAUGACGAAGAACUCCGAUUGCGAAGGCAGCUGACGGGAGCGCAACUGACGCUUAAGCUCGAAGGUGCGGGUAUCAAACAGGAUUAGAUACCCUGGUAGUCCGCACAGUAAACGAUGGAUGCCCGCUGUUGGUACCUGGUAUCAGCGGCUAAGCGAAAGCAUUAAGCAUCCCACCUGGGGAGUACGCCGGCAACGGUG
rnacentral:rRNA from 1 species